CUCUCACUUUUUGCAGAUGAUAUGAUACUUUAUGUGAAAAACCCUAAAGACUCCACCUCAACACUGCUAGAACUCAUAAUAGGAAUUCAGUACAAUCAAUGCUCAGAAGUC